rnacentral:ncRNA from 1 species
UAAAAACUGCCACCGGGUAGAAAUGCGUAAAGCAUUUGUUCACACAUCGUUAGGUCUUUGAAGAUGUGUGCACAGAUGCUUUAUUUUU